rnacentral:rRNA from 1 species
UACGUAGGGGGCAAGCGUUGUCCGGAAUCAUUGGGCGUAAAGCGCGUGUAGGCGGCUUGGUAAGUCCGCUCUGAAAGCCCGGGGCUCAACCCGGGGAGGCGGGUGGAUACUGUCAAGCUCGAGUCCGGAAGAGGCGAGUGGAAUUCCUGGUGUAGCGGUGAAAUGCGCAGAUAUCAGGAGGAACACCAAUGGCGAAGGCAGCUCGCUGGGACGUGACUGACGCUGAGACGCGAAAGCGUGGGGAGCAAACAGG